rnacentral:lncRNA from 1 species
CUGAGGUCCAGAGAGGGACAGGACCCACCAGCAAGUGACAGGAGUAGGGUUCAAAUCCCGUCAACUCAAAGAGCUGGCAUUUGGGGCUACAGCCUUCAGCUCAGGUCUGAGCCUGGUCCCAGCAGGUUCUGGGUAGGUGCCAGGGAGAAGAGGAAGGAGGGGCAGGGAAGUGGGGGACAGAGCCAAAGGGGCACCAAGGAGCUGGAGGGACGUCCCCAAGCCCUGUGCCCCUAGAUCACUCCGCAAGCCCUUCCUCAUCCCGAGUCUCACCCAUCCUCGUUACCCAGUUGCAAACAGUGAGCCACAUGGCUUCUCCCAGUGUGCCUAGCAACUGCAUCCUGGGAACCCCAGAUACUCCCAAUAGGAUUUUUUUUAAAUCCUUUAUUUUAUUUAUGUAUAUGUGGUGCCGAGGAUUGACCGCAGAGCCUCACACAUGCUGGGCAAGCGCUCUACCACGGAGCCGCGACCCCAGCCCCUCCAAUAGGAUCUUAAUCCGUUGCCCCUUUAUUAAAAUAACUCCGGAGGGUAUAGAUCCGUGAUGGACCAUUUGCCCAGUGUGUGCAAGCACCCAAGAAAUAAAUUUACAAAAACUCUAGAGAGGGCACCCCAACCCUAUGUGGGUUCUCCUCCCUGCUAACGAAGCAAGAAGCUCGGCCUCUGAGCCUCAGUGUCCACGGUUGUAAUCUGGGGGUGUUCUGUGGGGAGUAGAAGGAGGGGUCAAGACCCCAGAGGUGCAGUUGUUCGUCCGCCCUUGGUUGUCCAAGGGCACCUGUCCUAACCGGUGUCCCCGCCACCCCCCAUUAUCCAGGUGGGGAAAGUGCAUUUGUUCAGCUGGGCCAGGGAUCCACUGUCCCCCAUCUGCGGCUGCAGACUUGGCCCC